GUAGGUGGCAAGCGUUGUCCGGAAUUAUUGGGCGAAAAGCGCGCGCAGGCGGUUUUUUAAGUCUGAUGUGAAAGCCCACGGCUCAACCGUGGAGGGUCAUUGGAAACUGGAGAACUUGAGUGCAGAAGAGGAGAGCGGAAUUCCACGUGUAGCGGUGAAAUGCGUAGAGAUGUGGAGGAACACCAGUGGCGAAGGCGGCUCUCUGGUCUGUAACUGACGCUGAGGCGCGAAAGCGAGGGGGGAGCAAACAGGAUUAGAUACCCUGGUAGUCCACGCCGUAAACGAUGAGUGCUAAGUGUUAGAGGGUUUCCCGCCUUUAGUGCUGCAGCAAACGCAUUAAGCACUCCGCCUGGGAGUACGGUCGCAAGACUG
rnacentral:rRNA from 1 species